GCCUUUGUAGUUUAAUGGUAAAACCGCUCCCCUUUAAGGAGUCAGACUGGGGGUUCGAUUCCUUGGAAAUCCA
rnacentral:tRNA from 1 species